UGGGGAAUAUUGGACAAUGGAGGAGACUCUGAUCCAGCAAUUCUGUGUGCACGAAGACGGUUUUCGGAUUGUAAAGUGCUUUCAGCAGGGAAGAAGAAAGUGACGGUACCUGCAGAAGAAGCGACGGCUAAAUACGUGCCAGCAGCCGCGGUAAUACGUAUGUCGCGAGCGUUAUCCGGAAUUAUUGGGCAUAAAGGGCAUCUAGGCGGAUAUACAAGUCAGGGGUGAAAACUUAGGGCUCAACUCAAAGCUUGCCUUUGAAACUGUAUAUCUAGAGUGCUGGAGAGGUGGACGGAACUACACGAGUAGAGGUGAAAUUCGUAGAUAUGUGUAGGAAUGCCGAUGAUGAAGAUAGUCCACUGGACAGCAACUGACGCUGAAGUGCGAAAGCUAGGGGAGCAAACA
rnacentral:rRNA from 1 species